UACGUAGGGUGCAAGCGUUGUCCGGAAUUAUUGGGCGUAAAGAGCUCGUAGGCGGUCUGUCGCGUCUGCUGUGAAAACUCGGGGCUUAACCCCGGGCCUGCAGUGGGUACGGGCAGACUAGAGUGCGGUAGGGGAGACUGGAAUUUACGGUGUAGCAGUGAAAUGCGUAGAUAUCGUAAGGAAGACCAGUGGCGAAGGCGAGUUCCUGGACAGUUGUGCAUGAGACGAAGG
rnacentral:rRNA from 1 species